UGAGUCAGCUCCUGUGUUUGUUAAA
rnacentral:piRNA from 1 species